GAACUGAAGAGUUUGAUCAUGGCUCAGAUUGAACGCUGGCGGCAGGCCUAACACAUGCAAGUCGAGCGGAUGAGAAGAGCUUGCUCUUUGAUUCAGCGGCGGACGGGUGAGUAAUGCCUAGGAAUCUGCCUGGUAGUGGGGGACAACGUUUCGAAAGGAACGCUAAUACCGCAUACGUCCUACGGGAGAAAGCAGGGGACCUUCGGGCCUUGCGCUAUCAGAUGAGCCUAGGUCGGAUUAGCUAGUUGGUGAGGUAAUGGCUCACCAAGGCGACGAUCCGUAACUGG
rnacentral:rRNA from 1 species